CAUCGUGGCAAUGAUCAAGAGUGAAAUGCUGGGGAUGACGAUUCCCUAAAUUGGCCAACCAAUCAUCAUUUAAGCAGCGACAGUCUGUAAGCUGGAUCUCUUUCCCUGGAUAAAAAGAACCUGGGACUUAAGACAAAGAGCAGUAUAACAACAACACAACAAAGUUGCUGCAAUGAUCCACUGGAACUUUUGCAAGAAUUACAAAUUGCCAGCAAGCAAGUAUUGGUGGGAUCAUCCAACUGAGAAGGUCACAGAAAAUGAAGAGGCAAAAAUAUUUUGGGAUUUUUGAAUACAAACUGAUAGGCAUUUAGCGCACAAUAAGUCUGAUCUGACAAUCAUCGAGAAGAAUCGGGUUCUGAUUAUUGAUAUUGCAAUCCCAGGGGACAGAUGAGUCGGCGAAAAACAAUUGGAGAAAAUAACUAAAUACAAGGACCGUCAGAUUGAAACUGAGCAGCUCUGGAAGAAGGAAACAAUAGUGGUGCCAAUAGUUGUUGGUGCCCUUGGUGCAGUACCAAAAGAACUUGAACACUAUCUCGACACCUUGGACAUCAAUAAAAUUACAACACAUCAACUACAGAACUGAACUGAACUGAUUUAUUUACGGUCAAUGACCAAAUAAAUACUACAGCAAAGAGCAUACAGUACAAUACAAUAACAUAAGUAAAAAUUUAAAAACCUG